UACGUAGGGUGCGAGCGUUAAUCGGAAUUACUGGGCGUAAAGCGUGCGCAGGCGGUUUUGUAAGCCAGAUGUGAAAGCCCCGGGCUUAACCUGGGAAUGGCAUUGGAAACUGGCGAGCUUGAGUGCGGCAGAGGGGGGUGGAAUUCCGCGUGUAGCAGUGAAAUGCGUAGAGAUGCGGAGGAACACCGAUGGCGAAGGCAGCCCCCUGGGUCGACACUGACGCUCAGGCACGAAAGCGUGGGGAGCAAACAGG
rnacentral:rRNA from 1 species